GGCCUUCGAGUUUGUGGGCAAAGUUCGCGCUUUAUUACUUUAACGCCCUUGGACAUGUUCAAUGAAUGGUGGGCAUUUUGGUAAAAUCAUUCUUCUUGUGCAUAAAAGAAAGACAUGGAUUUUGUGAAGCACAAACAAAUGGCGAGCAGUCUUCUGUCCGUACACCACUUUCUUCCCUCCCAAAGGAGGGAAAAGAAUUGUUCUUGAGUGGUUUCAGGACUUCUAUUUGUGGACAAGUUGUGUGCAAUCCAAGUUUUUGUGGGAGACAAAUAACUAGAAGCCAUGGAAACCGUCUUGUUGUUCACUCACUGCUUGGAAGGAAGGUGAGGUCCGUGAAGAGCAGAGAGACUGUGAUUCCUGAACCAGAUUACAGGAUUCCAAUUGUGCUACUUGGUAUAGCUGGUGGAUUGGCUUACACAGAUAAUUUGGUACCUGCAGUACCUGUUGUCUCCUUGGAUUGCUUCUGUUGUUCCAGACCACUAGAGUGACAUUUGUCUUUGAUGAUGAGGCUCUGGAGGUAAAGAUAGGUGAACAGCUCCAGGAAUCGGGUGAGAAUGCUUUUGUGGGAGGAAAAAAAUGCUGGAAGUACUCAACAUUUGUUAAUUGGGAAUUCUGGUGGCCAAACUUCCCUAUCUUGGUUUACUUCAAGGAGACACAAACAAAGCCUGAGGGACAAAUUCAUUGCUUUCCCAUAAUAUUUAAUGGGAAGCAGCUUUAUGACGUUAUGGUGGAAAGAGCUGGCCCUUCAAAAACUAGUGGACCAAAAGAAUCCUGAGGACUGAGCUGUGUGGUUAGAACCUCAGUUGGGGUAUCUCGGAAACCAUAGAAGUCCACUGCCGACAAAGAGGCUUCUUAAGUUGGGACUGAUAUUUGUUUUCGUCAGUGUAAGAACAGCAUCAAAAUUUCUUGUUUCUCUUCCACGUACUGCUCUCGAGGUUUCAAGAAGCCAGCAAGUUCAAGCUAAACAAAAAAUUCUAUUAUUUGAAGUCUUGUUAGCAUAUAACACUAAUUCAUCUUGUUCCUUUUGAGAUUGACCAGUGAUUGAUUUUACUUCAUUUUGGAAGAUGUAUAAUUUCACAGUACCCAUAUAUUUGACUUAUGUUGGCUUCCACAGAUGAUGUAGUUCUCUGUAUACUUCAGGACUUCGUAUUCGUUAUGACAUAUCAAACAUGAAAAGUUGAUAUACAAAUAUUAUAUAAAUAGAUUUCAAUAUA